rnacentral:rRNA from 1 species
CAGUCGCCGCGGUAACACGAAGGGUGCAAGCGUUACUCGGAAUUACUGGGCGUAAAGCGUGCGUAGGUGGUGGUUUAAGUCCGUUGUGAAAGCCCUGGGCUCAACCUGGGAAUUGCAGUGGAUACUGGGUCACUAGAGUGUGGUAGAGGAUAGUGGAAUUUCCGGUGUAGCAGUGAAAUGCGUAGAGAUCGGAAGGAACAUCUGUGGCGAAGGCGACUAUCUGGGCCAACACUGACACUGAGGCACGAAAGCGUGGGGAGCAAACAGGAUUAGAUACCCCCGUAGUCCCUGUCUCUUAUAC